rnacentral:rRNA from 1 species
UCCGCAGGCGGUCAAUUAAGUCAGAGGUGAAAUACCAUAGCUCAACUAUGGACCUGCCUUUGAUACUGGUUGACUUGAGUCAUAUGGAAGUAGAUAGAAUGUGUAGUGUAGCGGUGAAAUGCAUAGAUAUUACACAGAAUACCGAUUGCGAAGGCAGUCUACUACGUAUGUACUGACGCUGAGGGACGAAAGCGUGGGGAUCAAACAGGAUUAGAUACCCUGGUAGUCC